rnacentral:lncRNA from 1 species
CCCCUCCCCUAAAUGCACAAUCCUAUAAUAUCAAUAUAUUCAUUUAAAUCAUUGUAGAAGGCAACAUACAUAAAAAUAAUAAGUGUCAGGUAUCUACAUUAUAUCCUUGAAAGAGUUCAACUAGAAUUCUUGAUAAGCAAUGAACAAUGAGUUAAUAUGUAUAACAACAAUACUAUAAUAUGAACAUGUAUAUAAAGAUGUAUUUUAUAAUGAAUUCUAGCACCAAGUUGUGCAUUUUUUUCUUUUU